rnacentral:lncRNA from 10 species
CACUGCUGAGUGCCAGAUCCUGAAUUCCGGAUAACCUCAUCUGUAAUGUACAACACUUGUUUUGUAUAUUUCUGAUAUGCGAGGUCAUCUAAAGCAGGAAUUCCAUUUUCCGUAAGACAAUCUCUACCUUUAGUGAACAAUCUCUCCCAUCGUCUACUGGAAAAAAAUCUUUAGAUGGCAUUCAAAUUGAAAGCCCUGACCCAAACAUUGCCUACUUCUCUAAGUUUAUGUCUUACCACUGCCGGCCCCUGCAUUGAUUCUCCUCCCUUAAUUUUCCUCUUUCCAUAAUGUUUAUUCCUUCCAUAAAUGGUAGAGUUGGGACUUGUACACAAAGUCUAAAUCCAGGACUUGUGUCCUAAACACCAUACUCAAUUGUUCAUUCUACUGUUGUUCAUCUAGUGCUUCACUUUUCUUCACAACAGAAUUUAGUGGCUCCUAUCACCUAAAGGAAAAUGUUUAUACACAGUGUUGUGGCACCAGAUAUUAAAACUUACCUCAAGUGCUCACCAAAAUGAAUUGUUUCCUCCCUUUCAUGUUACACCAUAUUUACCUCCAAGUAGAUUACAGACUCGUUGAAGGCAGAAAUUAUGCUUUAUACCUCUUGAUGUGC